UUGUCUCAUUGGCCAUCCAUUAGUCACAUCUGCCAGUCAUUACAUCACAUUAAUUAAUUUUUUCUUUCCUUCUCUCCUAAUGGAUUUGCGCUACUUGGCAAAAAUCUAACAGUCUAAUUUUCCUAAAAAUAUAGACCCCUUUCCCACCCUUUUCCUCACCACUUCUUCAUUUUUCACUCAUUAAAGUAUAUUAGAGAUAGAGAGAGAGCUAGAGAGAGAAAAAAAUGAUUGAAGAAAAGGAACGUAGGAAAACUACAAGCUUUCACUAGGGAAAUUUUGGUAUUUAUUCGUAUGUUCUAAGGAGUAUUUUCAGAUUUACGAAAGAAAUAUUGUAUGAUUGUGAAAUGGCAUGAUGCUUGCUUAGUUUUU
rnacentral:lncRNA from 1 species